GACGAACGCUGGCGGUGUGCUUAACACAUGCAAGUCGAACGGAAAGGCCCUGCUUUUGUGGGGUGCUCGAGUGGCGAACGGGUGAGUAACACGUGAGUAACCUGCCCUUGACUUUGGGAUAACUUCAGGAAACUGGGGCUAAUACCGGAUAGGAGCUCCUGCUGCAUGGUGGGGGUUGGAAAGUUUCGGCGGUUGGGGAUGGACUCGCGGCUUAUCAGCUUGUUGGUGGGGUAGUGGCUUACCAAGGCUUUGACGGGUAGCCGGCCUGAGAGGGUGACCGGCCACAUUGGGACUGAGAUACGGCCCAGACUCCUACGGGAGGCAGCAGUGGGGAAUAUUGCACAAUGGGCGGAAGCCUGAUGCAGCAACGCCGCGUGCGGGAUGACGGCCUUCGGGUUGUAAACCGCUUUCGCCUGUGACGAAGCGUGAGUGACGGUAAUAGGUAAAGAAGCACCGGCUAACUACGUG
rnacentral:rRNA from 1 species